GGUGGAUGUCUUGGCGUUGGGAGGCGAUGAAGGACGUGGUAACCUGCGAUAAGCCUCGGGAAGCUGGUAAACGAGCUGUGAACCGAGGAUCUCCGAAUGGGGCAACCCGGCCCGUAUGGGUCACUCUUGUCUGAAUGCAUAGGGCAAGAGAGCGAACCCGGGGAACUGAAACAUCUCAGUACCCGGAGGAAAGGAAAGCAAUUGCGACUCCGUCAGUAGCGGCGAGCGAAAGCGGAUACGAGACUGCCUGAAGAACCUGGAAUGGUUCGCCACAGAAGGUGAAAGCCCUGUAAAGCAGUCGUUAGAGUCUUCAAGUAGGUCCGGUCUCGUGAAACCCGGUCUGAACAUGGGGGGUCCACCCUCCAAGACUAAGUACUACC
rnacentral:rRNA from 1 species